AGCUUUUGGAAUCUGUGCUGAGAUUUCGUCAGACACCAACCCAUUGGGGUUGAUCAGACUUACGAAAUAAGUGAAGUU
rnacentral:pre_miRNA from 1 species